AAUGACCACCCUCAUCUCUAUCUUUUUUGUUUUGUUUACAAUUAUAACAGAUUAUGAGACUUGAUAUGACAUUUCUGUUCCAAUUAUGCUACUUUUUUUUUAUAUCGUGGCUAAAGUUUGGUCCGUUAGUCCUAUUUCAAAUUAUGGCCUCUUGCAUUUGUGAUUUGAUAUCAUGAUCAUAGUUCGAAAAUGCGGUUUCUGUCAUGAUCGCGGUAACGGUCACGGUGAUGGGGAACAAGGAUGAUGCAGUUGUUGUACGGCCAAAUAUCGCUCAGACCAUGAGAUAUCCCUCGAACCCACCUAAAACGCGUUUUUUUUACACCUUUAUGAUGCCGGUAGUGUCGGUGGGUAGAUAAAGGUGAAAUGAUACGAUGCGGCCUUGUUUUGACACCAUGAUCAUGAUAUGAAGUAUUUGAAAGUGUAUAAUAUUCCUUCAUUCUCUUAAAGAGUCUAGAAAGAUAUAUGGAUAUCCCAUAUUGUAGUUAUGGUCUAUUGUUUUUGUCUAGAAAGGUGAUUUAACAUCAUAAUAUACUCUAAAGUGCAUAAUAUUUGUUAUCUCCAAAAGAGGUCAGAAACGAUAUGUGGUUUGGAUAUUUUCUUUAAAGUAGUUAGUUCAUAGAGGUUAAUAUCCUCAAACGACCUCCGGCAUUAGCAGCAGCAAUAGGGAGGCCAAGGUGGCUGGGCUCUAGUGGUAAAUCUUGUCACCUCAGACUGCUCUGACCCUUGAGAAAGAAACAUUGUUGUACAUUGGAGAAGUAUUUUCGAUGAGAAGCUAAAAAAAGAUGCUUGAUAUUGAGGAUCGUGUAGAGAAGACCGAAGCCUGAUAAAUAACUUUUACAAGAUUAUCUAAGAUAUGUGCUUCGUUUCUUUAGAUAUUAAUGUGCAUGUAUGCUGUUCUUGGACUUUGGCAGACGUCAGUAGUUGGGAAUGAGACUGCAUUUUUGUUUAAAAAUUGCAUUUCAACAAAAUACCUUAAAUACCUUAUUUCUACCGCAAAGAGAGGUUGUAUACUUGUAUCUUAUAAACUCCAGAAGAUUGAGCAGAUGCCAAUAUAUGGUUACUCAAGGACAGGAUGAAGCAUGAAAGUUGUCCAAGUAUAAGAUACUAUGGGAAGCGAAUUCAUGUCUUUGAAUUUGCAUGUGUGUGGAUGUAGAUAGUUGGUCUCUGGCUCUGGUAUAAUUGGAAAAGAUAUCGUUGUGUAAAUUGUCUGUGAAAUGGUAAGUACCCUUUGUAUUUUGUCUACAAUUUUCAUAAUUUAAGUGCCUUAUAGAUCUGUCUUCUUCUGCUCCAAUACUUUCAAGGUGAUCAAGUAUUCGAUAAGAAUUUAAUAUUACUCAUCCAAAAAUAGAAUUAAGUUGGAGAAAACAAGAGGAAAUGAGAUAGAUUAGAACAGAAUAAGGAAAUUUUAGUUAGAAAGUCAAAUGAGAUUCAAUAGUAAUAGAACUGAUUGCAAAAGCUAACUAGGAAAAAAAUCUAAAAGAAAGAGUAGUUAUAUUAAUAUGUAGUAGUAUUGAUACAUCAAAGUCAUUGAGGAAAAACAGUGCGAAAAAUGGGCCAUGCUGCCUGUGCACAAGAAAGUGACGGCAUGUAGAAGUAACAAGGGACAUAAGAAGAUUUCAUAGAACUAGAACGAGUAGGAAAAGGUGAAAAAUUAGAAAAACAGAUGCUAGAUGUUUUCUGUCACUUGAUGCCACUAUCAAGGAUUAUGUCUUCAGUGAGGCGAUGACCUGCUUGCAGUGUUUUGUUAGGUCUUCCUCGUACUCGGAACACUUAACCACAAGCAUAUACUCCUGACGGACAAUGUCUCCAUUUAAAAAUCUAUAUGCAAUUUAUCUAUUGCAAAUUUUGGAAAAAUAUUUUUAUAUAUGGAGUGGUAUCUAUACCUUACACUCUAAUUGGAGAAUAAGAAAACAGUCUAAUAUUACUUAUAACUAGUUUCCUAAUUGCAAUCAACAGGCACUCAAUUUUUUUUUAACAAUCACGUUUUCACUGACAUUGAACUUCCAUUUAUUCUGCAUCAUUCUCUUCCUCUUAUAUAGAAGCUAACCAUGACGUAAGGAGAUCGAGUUGGGUACCGAACGUAAAUGGGUACAGGGAUGGGAACAGAAAAUGGAAAAUUUUUAAUUCUAAAGGCGGGUUGGGAAACAUUCUGAUAAAGAUAAAAUAGAUUAUCAGAAAAAAACUACGGUCAGAAUUUUCAAAUAAACAAGAAGUCAAGAACAUCAGGCCACCAAGUUGAUAGGAAAAAUAACCUUGAUACCAUAUAUAGAACGAACAGCAUGCCGAAAGAUGAAAGAACAAAAGGUAGAAGUCCAAAGAGAAGUAUAACAUGAUACAAAGAUAAAAGUACAAAUCAGCAGCCAUGUAAUUGAAUUUUGAAGGGAGAGAUCAGUGUUCACAGAGUAUUAGAGAAUAAGGUGAACUAGAUAGGUAGAAGAAGCCGAGGAAUAGUUGCCCUAGGUGUAAGUCAAUCACUGAUCAUGUUUUUCCUUCUUUUUAUUAUUCUCCUUUUUGAAAUAAAAAUAUGGGUCAAUAGGUGCGGAUACCGCGUGAGAUUCAACGACUGUCCCCAAGAAGUUCCUUGCCGUCCUCCUCUUGUGACAUCCCCGAGAUUUUGGAGACGUUUUUAUGGAUGUCUCCAUGCCAUCUUCGUAUGAUCUCCGUCCAGGGGACGCGUCUAGUAGGUGUCCUCGCGCUUCAUAAACCAUGACUUUCCAAAGUAAUAAGAAUGAGUCAGUGCAUCUCUGAAGCAGUGGAAAUGAGGGUGAAUACUGAAUAGUUCACAACAUGUAAGGUGCAAAUCGGAUUCAUUUAACCGUGUAGACGAACUUUGCGGAAAAAGAUCCAUUGAAGGUUCACGGUUGAGACUUGAGCAUUGAAAUCUUGAUAAAAUAAGCUUCGUUUUCAGAACCUUCUUCUGAUGGACAAGAGCUGGAGUAGCAGAGAUAAUAAUAGCAGCAGCAGUGGACAUUGGCCUGAAUUGUUGCUGCAAGGGAUUUGUGUCGUGUCAACUUCUUUUCUCCCUACUUGGUCUGCACUGUAGAACUUCAGCCAUUAGCCUUGGUUUUGUCACUUAGGUGUUGUUUGGUUGAACUUGAGAAGUUAUACUUCCCUUGUUUUUGCAAUUGCUAUGUAGUUUCACUUCCUGGGUUUUAAGUAAUAUUAUUGCUUGAGCGUAAGAAGUUGGAAUUUCCGUAGGAAGUUUUACUUACCUAGGGGGAGGGUGGGUAGGUAAGCAACUUCCCCUGUAUUGUGGGGAGUAGAACUUCCUAGGAAGUUCCACUUCAUAUGCUCAUGUCAAUCAUACAACCUCUCUAGUUCUAGCUUCCUAGGAAAUUAGACUACCCUUGAUUUACGAUGUCAACAAAACAACGCCUUUAUUCCUCUUCUCACUUCGUUCAACUAAACUUCCUUUUACCUUCUUCCUAAUGCUGGUGAAAAUGUUAGUGUAUGAUUGAAUCUAUGAAAUUCUUCCACUAGAUUAUAGAGGUUUCACCUUCUGAGUCAAAAGGUGAGCGAGUAAUAUAUUUGGGAAGGUUUACAUAAUAGGCACACCUCAAUCUCUCAUAAAAGACUAAUAGGAAACUGAUAAAUCCUAAGUAGUGCAUAUUAUGUAAGCUGAUGAUACCACUUCUAGGCAAUAAACCCAAGCGAUUUUUCAAUUCGAUGAACUGAAAAAAUUGUAAGUGUAGGAUGUCAAUAUGCAGCAUUCCUAAGAGAUUAUCGACUUGAUUAAGGAGUGAAACAGAAAUACACAAGCUGGAAACGAAAUACAUUCUGCAUAACUGGGAGAUGAAUAGUAUGUAACUGUUAUAACAGACUCCGGGACUGGAAACUGCAAAUGGGGUGCUUGAUUCUGAUUGAAACUUUUGGCGUCUAAAUUGGCGGUCAUGUUGAUCUGAAUUGCCAAAAUUGCUUGACAGGUUUCACUUUUUUAUGUCUGUAAAUGUUGACACCUUUCAUUCGAGUUAAAGAUGAAAUCUGCCGGCCAAUCUGCAAGGUCAAAGAUGACCUACAAAAUUGUGAUUAGGGCUUAAAGAGUAUGGUUGGUGGUGGUAACUGGUAAGACCGUGAGGCUAAUGUAUUUUGGAAUAGUACAUAUUACUCUAUGAAAUUUGAUAAUGACUUCAUAGUUAUCAUGGAGUGAUUACCAGUCACAAAUAAAUAAAAUAAUCCUGAUCUAUCGACCUAUUUGGAUAGAAUCCCCCUCUUGAUACAAAAUUGAUGGAGAAUAGUUUCAGUCAAAUCUUAUAUUAAUUCUUUGGAAAGUGGUGAGGAAGGUGGUCGUGUUUCUUCUUGAAUGGGUAGUCAAGAUCUUGAUUAGCUUGGUGGCGUUUCUCUUAUUUGGCAACGAGGAUGAAGAAAUUCCAACGGUUUUCUUGAGAAAUUGUAUGUGUCUUGUAUCACCAAAAAAAUGAUCUUGACACUUGUGUUUUUCAGCUUUAUUCUUAAAGAAAGGUUGUCAAGUAUGAUGAACUCUGAGCACCUCAAGCAAUUCGGGAAAGAACAGCUAUGACUCAGCACUAAUCAGAUAAGAAAUAGAAGGUUUCACCGUUUCCCUUCAAAAAAAAAAAAAGAUAAGAAAUAGAAGAAUUAAAGAGAGAUAUAGGGAAUAGAGAAGAGGAAGGAUUUUGUAUUAAGAAGAAAACUAA